GGAAGUGGCUCAGUGGUAGAGUGCUUGCCUUGCAUGCAUGAGGCCCUGGGUUCGAUUCCUCAGUACCA
rfam:Dipodomys ordii contig_54423, whole genome shotgun sequence.